rnacentral:rRNA from 1 species
AGCCCGCGGUAAUACGUAGGACCCGAGCGUUGUCCGGAUUCACUGGGUAUAAAGGGUGCGUAAGCGGUCUUGUGCGUCAGAGGUGAAAUAUCCGGGCUUAACCCGGAGGGUGCCUUUGAUACGGCAGGACUUGAGUCCGAGAGAGGAUGAUGGAAUUCCUGGUGUAGCGGUGAAAUGCGUAGAUAUCAGGAGGAACACCGGUGGCCGAAGGCGGUCAUCUGGCUCGGAACUGACGCUGAGGCACGAAAGCGCGGGGAUCAAACAGGAUUAGAUACCCUGGUAGUCC